rnacentral:rRNA from 1 species
UGUGUUAACCGUGUUCGUUCCGUCGCUGGUGACUGGUCGUUUCUUUUCUUUUCGUUUCGUUUCGUCUGCGGUCUAAGAAAGAAAGGAGCGCUCCUUUUCGCUUCUCUCUGUUUUCGUCUCCGGGUCGGUCUCUCUCCUCUUCUUCUUCUCUCAUCGGAGUUAUUAACAAACCCGUAGCCCUUAGGGUCGAGGCGUAGGUAGAGGAUCGAUCGCGACUUAAGGUUCUCUAGAGUGGGGAGAGAGAGGAGGGAGAGGGGGCAGGAAGAAGGAGGGGAGAGAGGAGGCAAAACCACCGCCCCACCACGUUCAACCAACGUCACCUCAACCGUGUCCCGCAACGGAAAAACCCGCGUGUUGUUUGUGUAUCCGUCCUCCUCCUCCUCCUCCUCCUCCUCCGAACACGAAGAGAGCGGAGCGGAAACGCCCCGGCGGCGAAAACCCGGAGGAGGAAGGGUAACCUCGCAUGUUUCGACCCGCCGUGGUAAAUUUCCUUCUCGUCGUCCUCCCCCUCCUCUAGCUCGGUUUGGGAGCGGUUUCUUUCCUUGUUCUCGUCACUCUCGCGUGGUGGUGGUAGUGAUCACGAUGAUGUGACGUGAGGCAGGGUCGGUCGGUCUCCUCCUAGCGCAGCGCGGCGACAAGGAAGACGGGACGGGAUAGCGGCGCCCCGAGGGAGGGAUGGCCGGCACUCCUGGCUGCCCGCUAGGGUUCCAGCCUCUUUCACAUCGGACGUUCGAAGAGUUUAGACCCAUGACAAACAUCUCCUCACCGGAAAAAAGUCAUUUCGAAACCUGUAAUAGAACAUCAAACCUACCGUAGGUACCAAUGAGAGUACACAAACACCUCGGGACCUACGGCUCGAGUGGUAACUACGCGUUGACACCUCUACAUUGAACACGAUGUGGUAAACAGGGGAGUAACGUCUGCUUUCAACCCAUCGUUUUAGUUCGCAAGAAGGCAUCGAACCAGUUCACAAACACUCCGAGUUCGGCCUCGUAGUUUAAAACAGACCGUACGUCUACAGUUGUCUAGGAUUGGUGAUGCCGCAUAAAGGCGUAAGUAAGAAGCCGGUUGUACACCAAAGUAAAGUCUGCUCACGUUAAUGGUUACCCGGCCCUCGGUACAGCCAGACGGACCUGUGAAGGUCACCCUAUUUACCAUUAGACCGUUACAACUUGUGAUGUGGAAGCUGCUAACAUAGGUGACGAAGUGGGUUGUACUAAGGACUAAGAUCGGUCUCGGAUUUCAUACCUCCAGGUUACCGACACCUCACCAGUAUGGGACUCAAUGUCUACGAAUUACUGCCGGAGGUAUUCAUACGUUCACUUGGCCCUUAGUACUUCAUAUAGUUCUAUCGUCGUUACAACGGUCUCUUCUGUCAUUCUCUACACCGGUACUCUACGGUCACCUACCGCCUUUUUGUUUUAUGUUCUGCUGCCUUCUGACUUCUUGUGUUACAACCUUCUUUCUAAUUUCUAUCUUUCCGACAUAGAGUCCUGUUUUACCACCUCCGCAGUAACACCUGAUUGUUAGCAAGACAAGGUUGUCUGUGGUCUCCAAGAAGACAAUGCUGUCGGAGACUGUAGCUGGCACGUUACGAAUUACAUAACCUUCUUUUACGAGCUGAAGAGUUAGUUUAUCUUCGUUUAUAAAACUGUAGUGUCCGAGUCUUGUUGUAACUAGAAAAGGUAGCGUGUUCUUCAUUGUAGUUAUUAGAAGAUGUUUCGUACUCGGUUUAUGGACCUUAUUACUCGUUCUACGGAUCCAACGGAUAAAGUCACCUACUUUUCGAAACGUCAAUAGACGAGGGCCCACAAUUAAACCGGGUUCAAGAAUCGUCGUCGAUGGACUUUCUCCUCGGUUCUCCUUUGACCACUCGGUAACGUUUCCACCGAGGAGUAAAAAGUCGUUAUCUACUUUCCAAACCUCUCGAGAAACGGGGCACAGACGCACCUCUUCGUUCUCUACGUUCUUUGUAGGUAGAAAAGGAUGCAUUAUAGGCCUCUCGGUGUGACGCCACACACGGAAGUUUGUGCCGCAGUUUACACGAGAGAGACGUUCAGAUAUAUAUUAUAAUCAGUAACUUUUAUCCCUCCCAAAAGCGUUAACGUCAAAAGGAGUAGAACAACGUGUAUAACAAACCAAAAGAGGGGACCAGGUCGAAAACGAGGUCAGGUUCACUAGUAGAAUUGUUCAUCACAUCGUAUCUUUGAACUAUGUUUAUUAAUCGUCCUUUUACGGGAAAACAGUGAACGUUCCAUUGGGAAGACACACAUUACGUUUCGAGAGUGAAGUGACAUUAGAGAGAAGUGACCUGCACGGCUCAUACUAGUUGUGUUGUGUUUAGAGUAGUUUAGUUCUUGCAACCAUCUAUUUCGAGUAACUCACUGGUAAGGGGUACAAUACUGAUCUUCUCCUGAGUUUGGGGAAUCAAAAAGUACGAGCCUCAAGACUGUGCCAACGAUAAAAUAGUAACACCGAGAAGUACGGUAAAGUCAAGUUUUUUAAUGUACUG